GCCGUUGAUUUUAAAAGGUAAAUUCGGAUUGCAAAUCCGGUUAGAACGGUUCGACUCCGUUCCGCGCCUCCA
rnacentral:tRNA from 1 species